ACUCAAAGGAAUAGACGGGGACCCGCACAAGCGGAGGAUGAUGUGGUUUAAUUUGACGGUACGCGGAGAACCUUACCGAGGCUUGACAUCCCUGGAAAGCGCUGGAAACAGUGCUGUGCCUUCGGGAGCCAGGUGACAGGUGCUGCAUGGCCGUCGUCAGCUCGUGUCGUGAGAUGUUGGGUUAAGUCCCGCAACGAGCGCAACCCUUGUCGUAUGUUGUAUUUUUCAUACGAGACUGCCCGGGCCAACCGGGAGGAAGGUGGGGAUGAUGUCAGGUCAGCAUGGCCCUUACGCCUCGGGCCACACACGUCAUACAAUGGCCGGUACAACGCGUUGCCAAGCUGUGAAGCGGAGCUAAUCGCACCAAAACCGGUCUCAGUUCGGAUUGCAGGCUGCAACUCGCCUGCAUGAAGUCGGAUUCGCUAGUAACCGUAGGUCAGCAUACUACGGUGAAUACGUUCCCGGGUCUUGCACACACCGCCCGU
rnacentral:rRNA from 1 species